AGAGUUUGAUUCUGGCUCAGAACGAACGCUGGCGGCGCGUUUAAGCAUGCAAGUCGAGCGGCAAGGGCCUUCGGGCCCCUAGAGCGGCGGACGGGUGAGUAACACGUGGACAAUCUGCCCCCCGGCCCGGGAUAGCCCAGGGAAACCUGGAUUAAUACCGGAUGAGACGGGACCCGCGAUGGCGGGACCCGGGAAAGGCGCUGCGGCGCCGCCGGGGGAUGAGUCUGCGUCCCAUUAGCUAGACGGCGGGGUAACGGCCCACCGUGGCGACGAUGGGUAGCCGGCCUGAGAGGGUGGACGGCCACAUUGGAACUGAGACACGGUCCAGACUCCUACGGGAGGCAGCAGCUAAGAAUCUUCCGCAAUGGGCGAAAGCCUGACGGAGCGACCGCCGCGUGAACGAAGAAGGCCGUGAGGUUGUAAAGUUCUUUUCGGGAGGGGGAACAACCGUGGCAGGGAAUGGCCGCGGGAUGACGUGAAUCCCGGAAUAAGCCCCGGCUAACUACGUGCCAGCAGCGGC
rnacentral:rRNA from 1 species